UACGUAGGGUGCGAGCGUUAAUCGGAAUUACUGGGCGUAAAGCGUGCGCAGGCGGUUUUGUAAGCCAGAUGUGAAAUCCCCGGGCUUAACCUGGGAAUGGCAUUUGGGACUGCAAGGCUCGAGUGCGGCAGAGGAGACUGGAAUUCCUGGUGUAGCAGUGAAAUGCGUAGAUAUCAGGAGGAACACCGGUGGCGAAGGCGGUGCUCUGGGUCGGUACUGACGCUGAGGCACGAAAGCGUGGGGAGCAAACAGG
rnacentral:rRNA from 1 species